CUGUCAUUGCAUUGUUGAGAUGGUCGAGUUUCUGAAACGUGCAUGUUUAAAUAAGCGGUUAUAUCCACUUCACACAAACUGCCAUUUAUAUAAAAAUCAUUUACCAUUUAUAUAAGAGUCAUUUACAAAAUUAUAUUUAUAUCAUAUCUCCUCGUAUUAUGCAUUGACUAUUUUCAUUAGGCUACAGAAGUCAUCCAUAGGAAUAGAAACCAACAUAUCCAAUAAUCAACACAUAAUCAAUGAUAAAACAUUUCUAUCAUAGGCCUAACGUCACCAAUAGUUAUUCUCUCUUUCAAACUCAGAGAUGGGUGAUGGGGCGGGCAUAUUUACUCGUCAGCGUCGCAUCAACCACUGUCUUGGGAAGAGGUGAUGAAUAGUAGCCUUCCAAUACCGGGCUACACAAUCUUGCAGUUGGAAAUAAGUGAAGUGAGUAACUUUUAUUCAGAUGUUUUGACACUGAGAAACGCUAUUGAUAAGGAGCCAGUAGAAGCAAAUAGCCGAGCAGAUCUUGAAGGUUGUAAUAGUCGCUUACAGUAACGUUAAGCCAACUUGCCUGCACCGCGUUCAGCGUAUCGCUGUCCACCUGCCUGUCUGAUUACAACGAGGAAAGCGACGUGCACCAUGAAAGGGAUGCAUUGAGGUGAAGGCUCUGGGCUGUGUCUCUUGUCUGAUGUCAACCUGGCUUGACGUUUGUAUGGGUCUUUACCUCCAACCAAAGUUGCCGUGCCAACCAGACCUCCCCGGGUGGACCCAGCGAAGGAGUCGACUCCCAAAGAGUCUGUCUUCAGCACAGUAGCAUCCUGACGCCGUCUGAGCACAUCGCAGCAGCUCUGCUAUAUUCAGCUUCUAUUCUGUGGCUUGGGAUGUCUAGUCUCUAACUCGUCUCCGGCUGCUUAUCUCUGAGGUCUGUAUCUCCUCGGAUGGCUAUUUCCACACUCACUUGUUCUCUCGCUGUCUGCCCCCUUUGCUGCCAUCCCACUAUCAGUAAUGUGUGUGUGUGUGUGUGUGUGUGUGUGUGUGUGUGUGUGUGUGUGUGUGUGUGUGUGUGUGUGUGUGUGUGUGUGUGUGUGUGUGUGUGUGUGUGUGUGUGUGUGGGGGAUGUGUGUGUGUGUGUGUGUUUGUGUGUGUGUGUGAGACACUGUUUUAUGGUGUGUUUGUGUGUGUGUGCCUGUGUUCAUCGUUGGUGUCUGUGCCUGGUGUGUGUGUGUGUGUGUGUUUUGUGUGCCUCUGACAGUGAUACAUUUGCUGGCUUGCGUUAUUGUCAGCCGAAAGAUCAUGAUUAUUUAUCUCGGAAUUGUGCAAUGCCAGUUACAGAUGUCUUCCCAGAUAGGCUUGGCCCAGAGACAAGGCUUGUGCAUUUGCUUGGUGUGUGUGUGUGUGUGUGUGUGUGUGUGUGUGUGUGUGUGUGUGUGUGUGUGUGUGUGUGUGUGUGUGUGUGUGUGUGUGUGUGUGUGUGUGUGUGUGUGUGUGUGUGUGUGUGUGUGUGUGUUUGU